CCCCGCCGCGGGAGCGACGCCGCCACCGCCGCUUUUCCUGCUCCGCCUCUGGAGCGCGGCGGUCGGGACAUAGCGGCGCUGCCGGACAGCAGGGACUGUGAAAUAGCGACCGCUGUUUAACCUUCCCCGCCACCCCUGUCCGCUGCUCCUUGGCUCCCUUCAAAAUCCCUGUUUCCUUGGUAGCGGCGUGCGUAGCUCCUGCCCUCCGCUGCGUGUCCUGAUUUCCUGCGUCAGGAGAGCUUCUCCCAGCGGGAAUGGGGAAUGUGGGCCUGUCUCGCUGCGACUCUUCUGUCUCCUUUGUGGACACUGGCUUUUCAUAGUGUGGCUUUUCUGCUCACAUGGGGGCUUUCAGGGUCCUUCCACUGCCUGGACCCAGCACAUGACAGCAGGAGCUGAAGUCACGCCUCACCCAGUUUUUAGGCAACCAACUCCCUUUGGCACUGGCCAUCACCGAGCAAUUGAUCAGGUUCCCAAGACUGUCCAGGAGACAGAUGAGAGGUGGGCCAGUGAGGUCUGUGAAGAGUCCAGAGGAAAGGAUCACUAGAAAUUUCAUUGCUGAGUACAAUGAUUCCAAACAGAAUACUCAAAGCAAAACAGCAAGCCUUUCAGUCAUCUAGAAUUCAACAAAAAGCAAAGCAACACAUCAUCAUGCGUUAAAGUUUCUUGUACUUUUCACUGAUGUUUUAUUGGGAAGUGAACUGCAAUGCCUUUACACUAUUUGUUAGCCUUUGGUUACCCUACACAUUAUUUGAUAGCCACAUAACUGAAGACGUUAGGUGCUGCUCCAACCAGAAUUAAGACAAGGCAGAGGGUUUUAUGAUUUGUGUAAUACAUGGAAAUGCUCCAUGUUUUCCUGCUGCUCACAGGUAUGUACCACCACUUGUUUUGGGAGGGCAAUCAAAUGUCUAGUUAUUUCAGAGAAUCUUUUUCAUUCAUUUUCUAUAGCAGAAUAUACAGAGAAUUUAAGUCAAAUUUAGCCCCAGACUUCUACUGAAACAAAAAUUAUGAGCAAGUUCUUCCUAGUGUUGAAAGAGACAAGGGUCACUGUGAGUUCGCAACUAUGAGACCUCUUCUCUUGGCUAUCAAUCAGCAGUCAGAAGCUGAGCUGAAAGACUGAAUUCUUUCUGCUGUACAAAUUUAUUCCCUCUAUAAAAUUUCUUUUUGCAAGACAGUUUAAGGCUGCUCCUUAAAAGAGUUUUGCCUGGAAUAAUGUAAAUAAGAUUAUGACUUCUAUAAGCAAGCUACUACUCCAGUCAAAAUUAGCCUGACAUUUUAUUUUCGAGUAUGCAAAUUAGGACAUGAAGCCUUCAGGAUCUUCUGACUUCAUUAAAAAAUAUACUGAAAUUUCUUUUUGCUUCCUCAUUGAUGCUCAUCAGUAGUAACACAGGAGUUGUUGUUGCUCGUUUAAAUCUAAUCAGUGUGAGAUGCAGUGAGCUUCUGGUCAUAUAUCUUUUGACAGUGUU